rnacentral:lncRNA from 1 species
CUUUCUGCUUCCUGGAAUCCAGGCUGGCUUGGUGACUUGCCGACCACAGAACGCUGUGGAAGGGACAUUCUGGGGCUUCCCAUCUCCAACAUAAGAAGGCAGGACUUGCUUCUGUGAGGUACUGAGCCACCCGUCCCUGGAGGAAAGCAAGAACAGAGCAGAUCAGAGCCCAGGCAGACAUCUUGGAUGAUGGGGUACAUCUUGCCAUCCAGAGGCAAUGCUGGAGCGGGCAGUUGUCUGCGGGGAGGCCCUGGCUCACUCUGGGCCAAAUAACAGGACUGAUUGCAGCCUGCGAUGAAACAUCCUGUUUCUCCCAACCAGAAACAGGUAGAGGAGCUGCUUUAGGAUGGAAGAUGAGGCUUGCUUUUUCUUUCUCCUAGAAGUCAGCAUUUUACAUGAUUCUGGGAGGGAAGAAAGGAGACAGGAACCAAGGAGCCUGAGUGGGGAUUUGCCCACCACUGGGCAGCCAGGCUCCCGUCAGGAAGGCUUUUCAGAGGGAGUGUUGGAAGGAGUCGUCGAGGAGUCUUCCUCACCCAGGAAGUCUUCCUCACCGGGUGAGCCCCAACCUGCUGGACCUGCUCAGAAUUUGCCCAACAGGGGAUCCUGGUUGACUGAGGUCUGCUAAUUCCAACUGGCCUACGCUAAAUUCUCCCAGAAUGUCUUCAUCAUCAAUGAAUCGCUUUCCACUGACACGACGCCUGGAAGAACAUAAACACUGUGAGGAUAAAUGCCAAUGAAAUAAUAAUAAAAUAAACUUUCUUUGGUGGCCAGA